CACCCAAGGGGGGGCACGUCCCUCUGCCCGCGCCUCCCACUCCCAGCCCCACUGUGCUGGGCCCUGCCCCUUCCUUCCUUCGAGGAGCAUGUAGGGCGCCCCCCGUCGAUCCCCAGCGCUUGCCGUCCUCGGCGGGGACCCAGCGAGGGAGAAGGGGAGUCCUAACACCGCCGCCCGCCUGCUGGCGCCGCCCUCCCUGGAGCUCACGUACGAAACGGUGUUUUCUUUGUCUCUAGACCUUGUUCAGUCGAAUCUCUCCAGGUUCUUAAAGACGCCUUCAGGAACAGACUGGCCAGGCUGGCUGACUUCAGCCUCGCCGCCACCUGCUUUUCGUGCCUCUUCUCUUUUCCGAGCUCCUUCCUCCUCCGCGGGAGUGAAAGAAAGGGAGGCCCGUCCCGCGCUUCCCGGGUCUUGCCCUUGUCCUUGUUUGCCCGCUGCUGCUUCCCUGUUGUGGCCCAGAUGAGAAAACAGAGGUGCUAGCAUGUCAGGUAAACCCUGAGGGAUAAGAAGAGAUUCAUCUGCAAAAAGGAACUCCGGAGUGACUCAGCUGGGUCGUUCCGGCUCACGGCUCGUUCCCAUAUGGCGGCCAUCGAGAUGUCAGCCGAGGCCGUGGCCUUGUUUGAAAGCUCUGCUGGGCUGGGGGACCCCCUUGUGUGACAGUGCCCCACACCGCUUCUGGCGGGAGGCCUCAGUUUCUCCUCACAAGGUUGUCCAGAAGGCUCCUUGAGUGUUGCUUUAUGCAGCUCCCCCUAGGAGAGAGAAUGUGCAAGCAGGGAAGGGGCAGGGAGAGAAGGGGACAGAGGAUCUGUGUUGCCAGCACAGAGCCCGAUGCGGGAUUCAAACUCAUGAACCGCGAGAGCGUGACCCGAGCGGAAGUUGGAUGCUUAACUGGCUGAACCGCCCCGGCGCCCCUGUUGUGUGGAAUGCUCUUAAACUUUAAUCGUGACGUUUAUGUUUCCACUACAUUAUUUUUUUAUUGUGGUAAAAUGUGCAUAACGUAAAAUGGACCGUUUUAGCCCUUUUUGAGUGUGCACUUCGGUGGCAAGAAGUACGUUCACGUUGUGGUGCAACCGUCACCUCCAGAAAUGUUCACCUUCCCGAACUGAAACUGUACCCCUUAAACGCUGACUCCCCACCCCUCCCGCCUCCAGCCCAUAGUGACCCCCGCUUUCUGUCUUUAUGAAUUCAACUACUCGAGACCUCAGAGGGCUCCCUUGUGUCUGGCUUGACCCAGCACAGUGACUUCCAGAGCUCAUGCACGCGGUACGCGUCCCAGGGUGUCAUUCCCCUCAUGGCCGAAUAGCAUUUCAUUGUACGGACCACACUGUGUUUAUCCGUCGUUUGACGGUGGACAUUGGGGUGGUUUUCACGCUGGUAUUUUUAAGGCUCCGGAGUGAUA